rnacentral:rRNA from 1 species
GCGAAAGUGAUAAGUAUCCCACCUGGGGAGUACGUUCGCAAGAAUGAAACUCAAAGGAAUUGACGGGGGCCCGCCCAAGCGGUGGAGCAUGUGGUUUAAUUCGAUGAUACGCGAGGAACCUUACCAGGGCUUAAAUGUAGAUUGACAGAUUUGGAAACAGAUUUUUUUUCGGACAAUUUACAAGGUGCUGCAUGGUUGUCGUCAGCUCGUGCCGUGAGGUGUCAGGUUAAGUCCUAUAACGAGCGCAACCCCUAUUGUUAGUUACCAUCGCGUAGUGGCGGGGACUCUAGCAAGACUGCCGGUGCAAACCGUGAGGAAGGUGGGGAGGACGUCAAAUCAUCACGGCCCUUACGUCCUGGGCUACACACGUGCUACAAUGGCAAGUACAGAAAGCAGCUACCUGGCAACAGGAUGCGAAUCUCCAAAGCUUGUCUCAGUUCGGAUUGGAGUCUGCAACUCGACUCUAUGAAGCUGGAAUCGCUAGUAAUCGGAUAUCAGCCAUGAUCCGGUGAAUACGUUCCCGGGCCUUGUACACACCGCCCGUCAAGCCAUGGAAGCUGGGGGUAC